AUUGAACGCUGGCGGCGUGCCUUACACAUGCAAGUCGAACGGUAACAGGUCUUCGGAUGCUGACGAGUGGCGAACGGGUGAGUAAUACAUCGGAACGUGCCUAGUAGUGGGGGAUAACUACUCGAAAGAGUGGCUAAUACCGCAUGAGAUCUACGGAUGAAAGCAGGGGAUCGCAAGACCUUGUGCUACUAGAGCGGCGGAUGGCAGAUUAGGUAGUUGGUGGGAUAAAAGCUUACCAAGCCGACGAUCUGUAGCUGGUCUGAGAGGACGAUCAGCCACACUGGGACUGAGACACGGCCCAGACUCCUACGGGAGGCAGCAGUGGGGAAUUUUGGACAAUGGGCGCAAGCCUGAUCCAGCAAUGCCGCGUGCAGGAUGAAGGCCUACGGGUUGUAAACUGCUUUUGUACGGAACGAAAAGCCCCGGGUUAAUACCCUGGGGUCAUGACGGUACCGUAAGAAUAAGCACCGGCUAACUACGUGCCAGCCGCCGCGGUAA
rnacentral:rRNA from 1 species